UCUGGUGGGGAGCUAUCGCUAUUUUCGUGACGUCGCGUUACAGACAGGCGAAGUUGGGGGUGGCCCAAAAAAGUUUUUGACCAAUCGUGGAGGGCUGAUUGCAGAAUUGGAAUAUAAAUGUUUGGAAUAGCUUUACG
rnacentral:lncRNA from 1 species